rnacentral:rRNA from 1 species
UAGGGAAUCUUCGGCAAUGGACGAAAGUCUGACCGAGCAACGCCGCGUGAGUGAAGAAGGUUUUCAGAUCGUAAAACUCUGUUGGUAGAGAAGAACGUUGGUGAGAGUGGAAAGCUCAUCAAGUGACGGUAACUACCCAGAAAGGGACGGCUAACUACGUGCCAC